rnacentral:rRNA from 1 species
UACGUAGGGUGCAAGCGUUGUCCGGAAUUAUUGGGCGUAGAGAGCUCGUAGGCGGUUUGUCGCGUCUGGUGUGAAAAUCCAGGGCUUAACCCUGGACCUGCAUCGGGUACGGGCAGACUAGAGUGCGGUAGGGGAGAUCGGAAUUCCUGGUGUAGCGGUGAAAUGCGCAGAUAUCAGGAGGAACACCGGUGGCGAAGGCGGAUCUCUGGGCCGUAACUGACGCUGAGGAGCGAAAGCAUGGGGAGCGAACAGG